rnacentral:rRNA from 1 species
AUACGGAGGGUGCAAGCGUUACUCGGAAUCACUGGGCGUAAAGCGCGCGCAGGCGGCUAUUUAAGUUGGAUGUGAAAGCCUACGGCUCAACCGUAGAACUGCAUCCAAAACUAUUUAGCUAGAGUGUGGGAGAGGAAGAUGGAAUUAGUUGUGUAGGGGUAAAAUCCAUAGAGAUAACUAGGAAUACCAAAAGCGAAGGCAAUCUUCUGGAACACUACUGACGCUGAGGCGCGAAAGCGUGGGGAGCAAACGGGAUUAGAAACCCUUGUAGUCC